rnacentral:rRNA from 1 species
AUUGAACGCUGGCGGCAGGCCUAACACAUGCAAGUCGGACGGUAGCACAGAGGAGCUUGCUCCUCGGGUGACGAGUGGCGGACGGGUGAGUAAUGUCUGGGGAUCUGCCCGAUAGAGGGGGAUAACCACUGGAAACGGUGGCUAAUACCGCAUAACGUCGCAAGACCAAAGAGGGGGACCUUCGGGCCUCUCACUAUCGGAUGAACCCAGAUGGGAUUAGCUAGUAGGCGGGGUAACGGCCCACCUAGGCGACGAUCCCUAGCUGGUCUGAGAGGAUGACCAGCCACACUGGAACUGAGACACGGUCCAGACUCCUACGGGAGGCAGCAGUGGGGAAUAUUGCACAAUGGGCGCAAGCCUGAUGCAGACAUGCCGCGUGUAUAAAGAAGGCCUUCGGGUUGUAAAGUACUUUCAGCGGGAGGAAGGCGAUGUGGUUAAUAACCGCAUUGAUUGACGUUACCCGCAGAAGAAGCACCGGCUAACUCCAUGCCAGCAGCCGCGGUAA